ACCAGUGUCACCAAAUGAGGUGUCGAUUACAGAACUUGAACCUAGAUAAAUGUAUGAAGGUAAGCAGAAGAAGGUUGAUGAAUAUCUUGAACAAUUAUGGUCUUUCUUCAAAAUAAUAAAGAUUUUUAAUCAUGAAUGUAACACCUGCAUUUUUUAUCAGACCCUCAGAAACGCUGGAAAUCCAGUGUGUGUGCCUCAUGUCUGCCCAUUCUCUUAGAAGACAAUCUAUUACUUGAUUUCCUUUAUUACCAAGUUUACUUAUCUUCCAGACUUUAAACAAAGUUCAAGAAAAUGAUGUAUAGAGAAUUAGGACAUACACCUAACCUCAAGCAAAAUUACCAAAGAAUGGUAGUGGAUACACAAUUGCAAAUCCAAAUAGACAAGAGAAGGAAAGUGCAUAAAAGCAAAGAUGAUCUUUGCUCUAAUUAGGUUGGGCGAUUAAAAGUAUGAACUGCAGCAACCUAAGAGCCGAGGAAAGAGACCAGAGAAAAAUGUCUUUUGUCCUGAUAGAACUGGUAUUAUUACUAAUCACUAGGCAUGAUAAGAGGACUUGAAGAAACUCUGAAUCUGAUCACUCUGUUUUAGAAGAACUAACAAUCCCUCAUAAUUUUAUAGCAAUUUGUCACCUUGUUAGCACCAAAAAAUAAAGGUACCAAGACAAAUUUUACUACCACAUAAUAAACAUCUUAAAGUUAGUAAAUUUAAGAAACUGUAAUCUAAUGGAAAAAAUUAUAAACAUCAAAAGCAAUCAGUCAUAUUGGCCUAGUCAACAAUCAAGUUAUGAAGUCAAAGGAGUACUCUGUAACGUGUACAAGGAAGCAAGCACAUUAUUUUUGCAAGAAGUUUAUGAUUUUGUUCUGUAUUCCGAUGAUUCCAAUAUGAGAAACUCAUCCUUUGACACCAUGUCUCUAGGUAUGUCAUGCUUUAAACCUUGGUUGCCAAAACUGGGAGCAGAUGCAGAAAUGGAUACAAGGAAAGGAACUUUAAAAAAAUUGAAGGAAAUACUUAGGAAGUGAGUACCCAUUCGAGUUUCUGGGGAAUUACCCAAUAUGCAUAUUUGCAGCAAUCGGAAGCUAGUGGCUACAUGUAGACGUGAAUUCACCAGCUUCUUCCUCAAUUGAAUGGUCAUCCAAUGCACUCAUUCCAGUUCCACCGGUAAUGGGGGUAUUUAUUCUAUCUCAACAUUCUCAUAUAAGCAUGGCUAAUCUAGAAGUGCACAACAUAUAUUAUCAGAUGAAAUGCAGCAGAUAAAGCAACCUCCUAAAGUAAAUAAGAUGAAAUAUUGUUUCAUCAACAUUACUGUAACGGCUGUGCAUCCUCAGACUGGUAAUCAAGUUUCAGCAAAUGUGAAUAUAAGGGCUAACCUUUUAUGUUAUUAUUCCAAUACUAAUUAAGAGGUCUUCUGCUCUAGUCAUGAGCAUAUUGGUAGUCGCACUG
rnacentral:lncRNA from 1 species